UACGGAGGGGGCUAGCGUUGUUCGGAAUUACUGGGCGUAAAGCGCACGUAGGCGGCGCAUCAAGUCAGAGGUGAAAGGCCUGGGCUCAACCUAGGAACUGCCUUUGAGACUGGUGCGCUCGAGUCCGGGAGAGGGCAGUGGAAUUCCCAGUGUAGAGGUGAAAUUCGUAGAUAUUGGGAAGAACACCAGUGGCGAAGGCGGCUGCCUGGCCCGGCACUGACGCUGAGGUGCGAAAGCGUGGGGAGCAAACAGG
rnacentral:rRNA from 1 species